CACCACCCUCCCUGCAUGCUUCUGUCCCGUGGCACCCUCAGAGUAGCUCAGCUGGACUGACAGCAGCUUGACGGAGCCAGCCUGGGCUGGCGGGACAGGUUUCUCCUUCCUGGCCUCUCGCCCAGAGGCCAGUGCCUUCGGAGCAGAAAGAGUGAUGGUACACAGCAACCAAGCAGGGCACAAAACAAUUCUGCUUCAACCGUGAAAGAUCUGGAUACGCAGCUCAGACUGGCCUCUGCCUCAGAUUCCCAAGUGCGGGAUGACAGGCAAGCUCCACCGUUCUCCACUCCACCCGAUGCAGCUUCCACGGGAACAGUGACUGGACUUGGGUGACGUGAGACAAUGAAUGGGUUUCACCUCUCUGAUCUCCGGAGGGUGAGCGCGAUACAGCACACAUCCUCUGCCCUGGCCGAUGUGCAUGCACAAGGCGAUCGGUGGAAAGGGCUGGAUCAAGCGUUGCUAAAGCCACAGCGAGCGCUGCCUUCCAACCUUACAGCUGUGGGUACUGAGCCAGGCUCCUCCACGUGCUGCCGUUUCCCGGAUACUCAUCUCGCCCAUCCCCAUGACCCCUCCUCGCAGCAUUUCUUCUGUAGGCCUCGUUAAAGGCGGUGAGCCUAGCCAGGGAAGGGGUAGCGUGGAGGGGGAGGGGGUUGAGCGCUGCGGGCUGCAAGCCUCCCGCCUCCCGGUCAAUCCACAGCGAAAGCAACCUCAGGACCAAUUAGGAGAGGCAGCGGCACAUCAAGGCCUGCCUCUUCGAGAGCGCCCUCGUGUCUCAUUGGUUGCGUACCAGGAGCCGCCAACCAGCAGCACCACCGCAGGCGGGGCCCAGCCAGAACUGGUUUGUGCAAGGUGCCUCCUUGGCGGAGAUCCAGGCAGUAGUCGAUCCUGGGCGCUGCAAUACAUUCUCCUGCUGGCUCAGCAGGACGUGGUUCUCCAGCGCCCACAUCAGGCGGUUCAUAACUGCCCUUAAUUCCAACUCCAGUGUGGUGUGGAGUGUGUGUGUGUGUGUGUGUGUGUG